rnacentral:lncRNA from 1 species
AUAGAAAGGGCCUGGAAAGUCUCAUUCAUGUAUAUAUAGGCCCUUUCUUGUCUACAGUACUCCCUGGAAGAUUCUCCCAAGCAAGUCCAUUUUAACAGAGAUCUUUGCUGUAAGGAGACAAGCAUGGGUUCCAAGGACAAGCAAGGUAUCAAUUCCAUUUUGCAGACCCACACUGUCAAUGCCCAGUGUGUGGUAGACUUGGCAGAU